GCGGGACUUUCAGUUGGAGGACACCAGGGGCAGAGGCAGUGCUCACAGACAAUGCAGUGUGGCCCGGACUUGGAAGAGGAGUUUCUCAUCUACUCAAGCAACACCAGUCGGUGUGGAAAUUAUGAAGAAACUUCUGAGCAAGAAAAUAGAGGCUGUGACAAUGCAGAUGGACCCAAAAAGCAGUGCCCCUGAAGAGGAGAUCCUCACAGAUCCUUCAUGACCUUGUGUGCAAUGCUGUUCUCAUGACUGUAGUGAACUGUGCACACCAUCUGAGUGAAGAUGUGUUGGGCCUGCUCCUCCUGCAGACAGCCCACUUUCUCUGUGUGGCUCACUAGAUCUCCGUGAACAGCAUGCUCCAUCACCAUAUAGGUGUUCUCUUUGGUACUGAUGAUGCGGAACAGCUAGAUGAUGUUUGACUGGUCCAGCACUUUGAAGAUGUUGAGUUUUGUCACAUUUUUGCAGUUAUUCUUCUUACUAUUUCCCAGGAUCUUAACAGCAACUUUCACCUUUGUAUGGAGGGGGCAGGCUGGCUUUACCUCAGCAAGGGUCUCUUUUCCAAGAGUCCUGAGUAUGAUUUAGGGAUCCUAUUUAAGUGAUAAGCCUUUCUGAUUCUCCAUGACUCUAUGUAUAAUGCUAUUCUCAUGACAGUAGUGAACUGCACACACCAUCUGAGUGAAGAUGUGUUGGGCCUGCUCCUCCUACAGACAGCCUCCUUUCCUAAUGUGGCCUCCCAGAUCUCCCUCUGUUGCAUACUUCAUUAUGUAUUAAUGGUCUCUAUUAUGUCUAUUAUUGAUGAUGUGGCACAGCUAGAUGAUGUUUGACUGAUCCAGCACUUUGAAGAUGUUGAUUUCUGUUAUUUUGCUGUAGUCAUGUGUCCUACCACUUACCAGGAUCUUCACAGCAACUCACACCUCUGUGUGGAGGUGGCAGGCCAGAUUCACCUCAGCAGAGGUCUCUUGUCCAGGAGUCCUGAGUAUGAUGUAAGGAUCUUUUUAAGGGAUAAGCCUCUCUGCAGGUUGAGACCUGAAGUGGGUAUUUUUGUGGUCUGACUGAGACAGCAGAUCUGGGGGCCCUACAGGGAGUCCAGAUGGCAGUGUGCUUUACUACAGAGAUAUCCAGCACAAAAAGAGUUAAAACCUCUACCGUAGGCUUCUCCAGAGGAACACAUAGUAAACACGAUAUAUAUCCCACUUAUGGCCUUCCCUAGCAUCGUUCUAAGAGUGGAGCCUUGUGUAAAACCCCACAAAAGCUGUCCGUGAAUUAGAAGAACCUAUGGACCAGUCUUCAUGGACCUAGAAGAGCAAUGCUCAUUCAUCUUUCUGUCCUAUCAAGGUCAAGUCCAAAGGAAAGUUCUGUCCCUUUGGGGGAGAGGUGAAUCCCCUCCACCGUCUUCCUCCCAGGUCUGCUGUUGUGUUUGCAUCCUGCCUUUAUCCCUUUGUCACUCUCAACACAGGAGACACAGUCCCGCUGCAUUCUGGUUCAGUCUAGAUGUUGGAGAAAGGACCAGUUACUCUGUGAUGUUUACCAGAACCGUACUUGUCUCUUGACAGGACAGUGACUGCAAGGUGCCUGAUCACAUCCUAAAAGACACACCUGGGGAAUUCCUGACCGGAGGAUGUGCACACUCAGUACUAGAGCCAGUGAUGGAGGAGAACACUCUUUUUGCUGGAAAACGAGUAGGCCCUUUCUUGAGCUCUCCAAUUCAGAAGGUCCUCACAGGUUCAGGAGGACAUCCUGGGUAGGGCAAUCAAAUGAAUUCUGUUGCAGUAUUCAAUCACAGACCCCCCCUCAAUUAUCUGCAAAAUCUGGGGGUGACAGGAGGAUCAACGUAUGGAACUCACCCGGCGGACGUUCUACUGUGGAGUCCUUGUUCCACUUCGAUGCUGUGCAUGUUUUGACAGUGCAGAAAGGUGACCUAUGCCUCUCUUUUAUGACAGACGCCCCAGGAAACCUGCUUGAGCAGAUAGAAAAAUUGCCCCAGCAGAACGUGUGGGAACUAAUGAGCCUCUUUGCAAAGUAUUGGGACAGCAUUGCCUGUGAAGGGCAGUGUCCAGGGGACCCUUUUCCAGGCCAUCAAUAACGUGGUGUACUUGAGGUCCUCCACUUGUAUAAUAUGUCAUUUGUCUUGGAGAAACAAUGAACAAAUACUGAAAUACUGAUGUAGAAUUCCAAGAGAAUGUAUUCUAAUUGACAUUCAGAAUAGUUUAGGAUGUCUAGAAAAAGACAAAGGAGUAUAAUCUCUCAGACACCCCUGUUUCUCAGCACCCGUCACUGUUGUGACGGACCUACCCACAUUAUGUCAGCUAAUUUUCUCAGUGGCAUCCAGGGAAAGCAAGGCAGUGAAAAUGGUCUGCCCUCCAAGGGCUGCAGGAUAACUAUGCAAAAGCAGUCAAUAGCAAACCCAUUAAAAAACUCAACACAAUCUCAAAUGUUACACCUGCCCCAGAUCCAAACUCUAUGAUGUUCAUGCAAUAGAUGCAGAAGCGGCCUACACAAGUUUCUGCUCAUAAGGAGGAAGAUCGGAAACAACCCAGAGAACACUAACUGUUCUCAUGUGAGCUCUGCAGCCACCACACAACAAAUAGAGAGACUGGAGAACGGCUUGAGGAGACAACUCCUCAGGACAUCGAGAGAGAGCCUGUCCUCUGACUCACCCCAGGAGAGAACAAAUUCCUGUUCCAAGCCAAGAUGGUGGUUUACCGCCUAGCAGUGUCAGUGGUGUCCAGGCAGACAGGCAGAUGUGCUCUGUGCACCGCUCUUUACAGCCACGCAACCCCCAAGAUCACUGCUUAAGGAUGUGGGACAGAAGCAGAGUGAUAACUUUCCAAAGCUGGGGUCGUGCACAUGUCUGACUGUCAACUUUUCCCGAAGCCCAGGAGGAGGAGGAGGCUGAAGAAAGGAAAUGUAUAGGACUUUCUGGAGCUGGUGAGUCUCCAUGUUGCUGCUUCUGGAGCCCCCAAAUCCUAGAGCUGCACAUUCCCCAGCCCUGCUCCACACCCAUUGCUGGAUGCAACCCUGGCAGAACCAACACCCUCCUCCUUCUUCACAAUGAGUGUAAGGCACCAGGCUGUGCUGUGCUAGAUCUGCCACAUACCCCAAAGUACUACGUGUCAGGUCCUGAUGGACACCUAUGACCCACAAUCCACAUAUACAUUUAGUACUUACCUGACAUACACGCUCCUUCCAAAUACAAUCCUCUAGGUAUGAAGACAUUAUUGCAAUUCCUGUGCAGAUGCAGGCAUGCAUACAAUGCUAAGCAUCAACCCUUACCUAGCCUCUCACUGUUUUAUUGCCUGCAUACCCUUCUAGUUGGUGGUGGGGAAUUUAGCAUGGCUGAAAAUUAGCAGUGCAUUGGGGGCAGUAACACAGGUUAGGAAGAGACACCUACUUAGCAUUGCCUGAUGUUAGUCACAGUCUGAGGAUCAGUAUUGUAGACUUCAGAGGUACGUUUUACAUAGUAUUACUCAAGGGCUCAGGUAGGUGGUGAGCAAGUCCUGAAAUCAAAGAGUGAGUUUCAGACUGCCAUGGUGAUGGAAGGAGUGUCCUGGUGACUUGAUAACAAGUAGAGCACUCAUGAAUUUGUCAACAGGAUGUCAUUCCAUGUGCAACCAUAAUGUGAUAGGGAUUUGACAAAUGGUAGGGAAUGGAACACUCUGUAGUGGUGAUGAUCUUGUACAUACCAUCAAGGGUGUUUACACAUAUGUAAAGUGGCCAGGGAGCACGACACAUAGGAUGAUGUGCAAGCUCCACUUAUCCCCUGUCAAUCUGUCAUACAGUUUCCUUGUUAAGAUAUGUGAGGCCCAAUAGAGCAAAAAGCCACAGACCUCCUCCAACAUCUGCACCUCCGCAAUUGAGUUGCAAUUCUAAAUUCACAAAGCUUGACCUUACCCACUCCAUCAAGAAGGAUAUUUUCUAUAUUAAUGUCAUGGUGUGUGCAGUGCAUCUUUGUUGGAGAAAGUGCACUAUGGACACACGUUGAUUAUUGUUCUAUUACCUUCUUAUGAUAGUGUCUCUCACUGAAGUACAGCUCUUCUUCAUAGGGAGACGGAGACCAGGAGGGCUUCCAUGGACCCUAUUUAAGCUGGCUGCCUCUUGUAAUGAUGGCUGACCAUAUUGCUCAAUUGGUAUUUCAGAAUAUUGAUUGUUGUUUAUAGUUUGGUCACCUGGAUACUGAACAGGGUAUCACCUGUUCAGGUGGUACAAUCUGUGGAACAUGGUGUAGCUUCUGCAUCUCUUACCUCUUUUUUUCCACAUCCUCUUCCUGAAAGUGAUCUAUGCUAUUGGAGAGCUGAUUCAUUAGAUCUCUUCUUCAAGGGGAGAUGGAGGCUAAUAGAACCCAAACAGGCCCUAUUUAACCAGGGGGUCUCAUUGAGCAGAUGACUGUCCCUAUAGUUCAGUUGUUGUCAAUCAGGAUAUUUUUUGUGGCUUGUUUAAUAUUUGGUGCCUGGGUGCUGAUCAGGGCAUCAACUCGAGGACAGACUCUAUGUGAAGCAUGGGGCAGCUUCUGCAUCCCUUGCUUCUUCCCUCCACACCCUCUUCCUGAAAGUGAUCUUCCCAACCUCUAGACUGAGUGAAAACCUGGUUCACUAGCUCUCUUCUUCAAGGAGAGAGGGGUCCUAAGAGGACGUAUAGGGAUCAUAUUUAAUCUGGAUAUAUCUUGCUUAUGGCUGGCAAAUUAGCUGAAUUGAUAGUUGAGAAUAUUAUUGCUGUUAUUAGUUUAUUAUUUAGUCACAUGGGUGCUAGACAAGGCACACCUGCAGCUUGGAGUAGCUGUAGAGCAAGGUGUGGCUUCUGCAACCCUUGCCUCUUUCUUUACACAGUCUUCCUGAAAGUGACGCUUCCCAACUUCUUUGCUGAUUCAUUUGCUCUCCUAUUCAAGGGGAGAGUGAUGAUAAAGGGAUCUGUGUGGAUCAUAUUUAACCAGUGUGUCUAAUGAUGCUGAUGACUGUUGCCAAUGUUCAGUUGGUAAUUCAGAAUAUUGAUAGUUGCAGUUAGUUUAUUAUUUGGUCACCUGAAUUGUGGACAGGGUGAUUCCUCCAGGGAGAAGUUCUAUGGAGCAUGGUGUUGCUCCUGCAUCCCUUGCUUCUUUGUUCCAUACCCUCUUUCUGAAAGUGAAUCUUCCCAGCUUCUGCACUGAUGAAAUGCUGGCUCACUAGCUCUUUUCUUCACGGGUAGAGGAAGGCUAAGAGGACAUUUAGGAAUCAUAUUUAAUCAGGACUUGUCAUGCUGAUGGCUGUCCUCAGAGCUCAAUUGGUAUUUGAGUGUAUUGAUUGUUGCUGUUAGUUUAUUAUUUAGUCUUUGCCUGUGUCUUAGAAAUGACCCAAUCUUUUCACAGGUAUAGCCAAUGUUGUACAUAUGCUGUACGACUCUGGGAAUGAUUUCCUUAUUGUUAUGUGGCACACGUUGCUGAACGUGGCACAGCCAAUGUUGUUGCACAAGUUGACUUAUUAUUAGCCUUUACCAGAUGUGGACCAUGAAUAAUGAUGCAAUGAUAGUGUGACAAAGUUUUGACAAAUGGUAAUGAAUGGGACACAGUGUAGUGGUGAUGAUCCUGUGCAUGCCAUCAAGGGUGGUUUCUACACGUGUAAAGUGGCCAAUGUCCAUGCCAUGUAGCAUGAUGCCCAAGCUCCACUUAUCACCUGUCAAACCAUCGUAGGAUUUUGUUGCCAAUUUCUCUUGGACCAUAUAGAGUAAGGAGCCACAAACCUCCUCCAACGUCUUUCCCUGUUCAAGCCGAGUGGCCAUAACAAAAUCACUAAGCUUGACCUUACCAGUUCCAUGCUGGAUGAUAUUCUCGGAUAUCAUGAUGUGCAAUGUGUCUUUUUGAGAAAGUGCACUGCUGACAUAACCUGAUGGAUGGUUGGUCUAGCCUCCUCCUUCUUUAGAUUGCCUAUCUUCAUGAGGAACAUCUCCAGAUCUUUUCUUGGAACAUACUCCAUGACCACAUAAGUCAUUGUGUAUCAUUGAUUUGAAAAAAAAAAUGUCCUAUGUAACUUAAGUGUGUUCUAUAGAAUGAUGGAUGUUUACUUCAGAUAGAAUGUGAGUCAGAGAACUGUGUUGUUCUUGAAGGAUCUUGGCAGCCAACUGUGCAUGUUUGGGUAGGUCACAGACAUGCAUCACGUCUGUGUGUCAAUGACGUGAAAAAAAUUGAACUCUGUUGCUAUGUUUCAAGGAAUACAGGAUGUGUGCUUCAGAAGUGCUAUGAGACAGAAGACUGUGUUGUUUCUGAAGGACCCACCUGUGCAUAUGUGGGUGGUCGCAGGCAAGCAUCAACUCCCACAUGAACCAGAACCUAGAGAUGUUACGAUCCUGACAUCCUUUCCAAACCUGUCCUCUUCCAUUGGCUGCCCAUGAUGUUGAGCUCAACUUAAGCCACUGUAUUUUGUGGGAAAUUUUAGGACACGCAAUGCUAGAAAAAAAUUCGUGUAGUUUUAGAAUGGAAGAUUAUAGCUAUGAAUUUUCUGUCUUGAAAUCUGAGAUAUGCCAAAUAACAAAAUGAUGCCUUUUCAGGCCCUGAGAUACAGGAAAAAUCUGGGGGAUAAUUUACAUAAAGAAACUGAACAAGAGUGUAGCAGCACACGUUCAGAUUCUAGGGUGGAGUCCAUACUUAGACACAGUGAUCUUGAACUCUUCUGCUAUGCACAGUGUAGCUACAUCUAGAGAUUUUAUCAUAGACAAGAAGGCUAUUCCACAAACAAAAAAUGAAGUUUUUGACUGUGGAUAUUAGCAAGAAGAGGGUGAGCAUUUAUAAAUGAACCAAUAUUCGUCACAGUGAUGGAGUGGAGGAAGUGAAAUUGAGCAGAAGAGUAUGACCACAGUGCUGUACAGGCAUUCACGGGAAUGUUUUGAUGAACUUGCUCUGGGUAGGGUAGAGUCAAAGGUACAGCCAAAGAAGCACUCUCUUAGCAGAGCCAAAGAAACCCCGCUGUCCCUGAAAUCACAGCCAAAGAGGAGAGCCGAACCUGAGAUCAGAGCCCCUUCAGUGACCCUGAUAUUAGAUUGAAAAUGUUAAAAGGGGUCAGUGAAUGAAACAUGCUUUAGACCAGAAACCAGACGUAGAGAAUGCAUUCUUAUUCUGACAAACUCAGCACAAAAACUAACCAGUCUCUGCACAGGAAAUCCAUCCAAUCCCCGCGCACAAAACAAACGAAUCCCUAAGCACAAAAUCCAGCCAUUCUCUUGAGCUGUCAACAGAUCUGACAUUGAAUUUUGACCAAUUUCUACUCUGAAAAUCUUCACCCUGUAAGCACUGGGUUGAGCUCUCAGAGUCCAGCUGAAGAGAGGGAAGAGGGAUUGUAUGAGCAAAGGGGUGAGGUUUAUGGUAGAGAAACCCACAGAGACAGUUCACCCGAGCUAGUGGGAACUCACUGACUCUGGACUGAUAAUCUAUAGAACCUACAGAGGACCAAAGUAGUCCCUCUGAUUGUGGUGGACAGUUGUGUGCCUUGGAUACUUUGUGCGGCCAUCGGGAGUGGGACUAGACUCUAUCCCUAGUGCAUGAACUAAUUUUUGGAGCCCUUUCCCUAUGGCGGAUGCUUUGCUCAACCCUGAAUCAGGGGUUGAGCCUCAACUUGUUAUGCCAGACUCCCCGUGGGAGGCCUUUCUGAGGAGUGAAUUGGGGUGGGGUCUGUGGAAGUUGGUGGGAAGUGGGAGAAGGGAAUGGGGAACUGUGUUGGAUAUGUAAAAUGGAAAAACUACCUGAGUAAAUUGGGAGCAUGAGGACCAUGGG